AAGGUGGCUUUUGGGCUGUCGCAGAUGGAUGAGCCUGCGUUGGAUUAGCUAGUUGGUGGGGUAAGGGCCUACCAAGGCUACGAUCCAUAGCUGAUUUGAGAGGAUGAUCAGCCACAUUGGGACUGAGACACGGCCCAAACUCCUACGGGAGGCAGCAGUGAGGAAUAUUGGACAAUGGGGGCAACCCUGAUCCAGCAAUGCCAUGUGUGUGAAGAAGGCCUUAGGGUUGUAAAGCACUUUAGUUGGGGAAGAAAGCUUUGAGGUUAAUAGCCUUGAGGAAAAGGACGUUACCCAAAGAAUAAGCACCGGCUAACUCCGUGCCAGCAGCCGCGGUAAUACGGGGGGUGCAAGCGUUAAUCGGAAUUACUGGGCGUAAAGGGUCUGUAGGUGGUUUGUUAAGUCAGAUGUGAAAGCCUAGGGCUCAACCUUGGAACUGCAUUUGAUACUGGUAAACUAGAGUACGGUAGAGGAAUGGGGAAUUUCUGGUGUAGCGGUGAAAUGCGUAGAGAUCAGAAGGAACACCAAUGGCGAAGGCAACAUUCUGGACCGAUACUGACACUGAGGGACGAAAGCGUGGGGAUCAAACAGGAUUAGAUACCCUGGUAGUCCACGCUGUAAACGAUGAGUACUAGCUGUUGGAGUCGGUGUAAAGGCUCUAGUGGCGCAGCUAACGCGAUAAGUACUCCGCCUGGGGACUACGGCCGCAAGGCUAAAACUCAAAGGAAUUGACGGGGACCCGCACAAGCG
rnacentral:rRNA from 1 species